GACGUAGGGCGCGAGCGUUGUCCGGAUUUAUUGGGCGUAAAGAGCUCGUAGGCGGUUUGUCGCGUCUGCCGUGAAAACUCACAGCUUAACUGUGAGCUUGCGGUCGAUACGGGCAGGCUAGAGUUCGGUAGGGGAGACUGGAAUUCCUGGUGUAGCGGUGAAAUGCGCAGAUAUCAGGAGGAACACCGGUGGCGAAGGCGGGUCUCUGGGCCGAUACUGACGCUGAGGAGCGAAAGCGUGGGGAGCGAACAGG
rnacentral:rRNA from 1 species